GCAGUGGUGGUUCAGUGGUAGAAUUCUCACCUUCCAUGUGGGAGACCUGGGUUCGAUUCCUGGCCAAUGCA
rnacentral:tRNA from 1 species